rnacentral:rRNA from 1 species
AUUGAACGCUGGCGGCAGGCCUAACACAUGCAUGUCGAGCGAGCGGCGGACGGGUGAGUAAUGUCUGUGAAACUGCCUGAUGGAGGGGGAUAACAACUGGAAACGGUAGCUCAUACCGCAUACCCUCAGGUCUUCCCCAAUGGGAGUAGCUAGUAGGUGGGGGAACGGCUCACCUAGGCGAGGAUCCCUAGCUGGUCUGAGAGGAUGACCAGCCACACGGUAACGGAGACAGGGUCCAGACUCCUACGGGAGGCAGCAGUGGGGAAUAUUGCACAAUGGGCGCAAGCCUGAUGCAGCCAUGCCGCGUGUGUGAAGAAGGCCUUCGGGUUGUAAAGCACUUUCAGCGGGGAGGCGUUACCCGCAGAAGAAGCACCGGCUAACUCCGUGCCAGCCGCCGCGGUAAUAC